UAGAGGGAAGGGGAAAAAAAGUAAAACUUAGUAAAAUGCAAUGUGCAAUAAUUGUUUCACAUUUUUUUUCCCAAAAUCAGCAACAGAGAAUGUUAAAAACAAAUGUGUUUCUCCAUUUGCUCAUACAGCAUCUCCCUCUAGCCUAUUAUUUCCUGUUAGACACAGCCCAGAAAACGAAUAGAGACAAGUCCUGGCUGGGUCUGGGUUCAGAAACAUAAUAGAAGGAUUCAUCUAAACUGUCAGCCACUGUGGAGGAAGUGAACCUUCUAGAUCCUGCUGACUUAUACAAUGAGUUUUGUGUCGAACAUCAGACAAAAGGGCUGGCUGGUGAAGGUGGCUGUUGUCUGGAAAGUCCUCCCAGCUCUCCUCUAAUUAUGUCAUAAGGACUGGAGGCCCCUUAGCCUGCUUGUGAUAACACGCAAGGAAAUAUGGGCCAACUCUUCACAUGAGCACAAGAUAUUUCCAUGCUAGCCUUUUGCAAGUAACAGCAGAGAGAGCUCUGUGCAGUUUUUGCUGGAAUGCCUAUGAAUUACUUGAGUCAUAAUCGUAAUCUAAAGAGUUGUCCAUUUGUUGACUCUUUUGUAUUUGUAUUGGUAGAACUGCCACUAUCAAAACCAAGAUCACUCUUUGGGAAGAUCUUUAGCUGUCUUUAUAUCAACUUCUCUGGAGUUUAUGUGAUUUUCCAGAAAAUUUCCAAGGCAUAGUUUUGUCCCUAAGUCCCAUGAAUAUGUAAUAUUUUGUGUCUCUCUAUUAAAAUAGCACUUUUUGUGCAUUCAAUUAAC